AUACGAACUGUGCAAACGUUAUUCGGAAUCACUGGGCUUAAAGGGUGCGUAGGCGGCAAUGUAGGUCAGGUGUGAAAUCCCACGGCUCAACCGUGGAACUGCGCUUGAAACCACAUAGCUUGAGGGAGAUAGAGGAGAGCGGAACUGAUGGUGGAGCGGUGAAAUGCGUUGAUAUUAUCAGGAACACCGGUGGCGAAAGCGGCUCUCUGGAUCUUUUCUGACGCUGAGGCACGAAAGCUAGGGGAGCGAACGGGAUUAGAAACCCCAGUAGUCC
rnacentral:rRNA from 1 species